CGCAUCUGUGCAUGCAGCAUAUCAAUAAGCGGAGGAAAAGAAACUAACAAGGAUUCCCCUAGUAACGACGAGUGAAGCGGGAAGAGCUCAAAUUUGAAAUCUUAAAGGGUUUCCCUUUACGAAUUGUAGUUUAAAGAAGUGUUUUCUGUUGAGGUUUUGGUAAAAGUUCUUUGGAAUAGGACAUCAUAGAGGGUGAGAAUCCCGUAUUUGACCUUUACUUUCAACUUUGUGAUACACUUUCAAAGAGUCGGAUUGUUUGGGAAUGCAGUCCAAAAUGGGUGGUAAAUUUCAUCUAAAGCUAAAUAUUGGCGAGAGACCGAUAGCGAACAAGUACCGUGAGGGAAAGAUGAAAAGAACUUUGAAAAGAGAGUUAAACAGUACGUGAAAUUGUCAAAAGGGAAGCGUUUGACACCAGUGCUGUUUUUCUGAAAAUCAAUUAAAGAACUGUUUAUGCUAAGCUGUUUAGACUUUAUCAGCUAUCUGUUUAGUUUUGAGCUUUUCUUUAAUGCACUUUUCAGUUAACAAGUCAACAUCAAUUUCUUUUGCUGUAAAAAAGCUUGAGGAAGGUAGCUUGAGAUUCGUCUUAAGUGUUUAUAGCCUCUUGCCUAUGCAGUCGGAGAGAUUGAGGUCUGCAGCGUAGAUCCUUCGGGGCUAAAUGCAUUUGUGCUAAGUUAUAACAUUUUAUAGACAACUUGUUGACUAUGAUUUGUCUUGUAGCUUACUCGCUUAUGUUAUUUUACCUACGCUUAGGAUGUUGAACGCGCACAGAGUCUC
rnacentral:rRNA from 1 species